AGGCAUGUCGCUCUAGCCCCGGAGUGGGAAGGGGUAGCUGCCUGGGAGCAAGGUACCGAAGCAGGGCAGUGCUGGGGAGCUCCAGCCUGGUAGCCCCCCAGCCUGCAGGCCUUGUGGAAGGCCUUUGAAAGACACAAAGAUGGACCAGUCCACUCUGUAAGGCGGAAGAAACGACUGAGCACCUUUGAUGGGUCGGUAACGGCUUUGAUAAAGAAAGGGAAAAGCUUGCUGAGGAAUUCAAACAUCCUAAGCAUGUAACACAACGGGUGCUGGGCCAUUACUCGGGCUCCUAUUAGUCACUGCAAU